rnacentral:tRNA from 1 species
GGCCUUAUCGUCUAGCCUGGUCUAGGACGCUAGCUUCUCAAGCUAGAAACUCGGGUUCAAAUCCCGAUAAGGCUACAA